rnacentral:rRNA from 1 species
GACGAACGCUGGCGGCGUGCUUAACACAUGCAAGUCGAACGGAAAGGGCCUGCUUUUGUGGGGUGCUCGAGUGGCGAACGGGUGAGUAACACGUGAGUAACCUGCCCUUGACUUUGGGAUAACUUCAGGAAACUGGGGCUAAUACCGGAUAGGAGCUCCUGCUGCAUGGUGGGGGUUGGAAAGUUUCGGCGGUUGGGGAUGGACUCGCGGCUUAUCAGCUUGUUGGUGGGGUAGUGGCUUACCAAGGCUUUGACGGGUAGCCGGCCUGAGAGGGUGACCGGCCCCAUUGGGACUGAGAUACGGCCCAGACUCCUACGGGAGGCAGCAGUGGGGAAUAUUGCACAAUGGGCGGAAGCCUGAUGCAGCAACGCCGCGUGCGGGAUGACGGCCUUCGGGUUGUAAACCGCUUUCGCCUGUGACGAAGCGUGAGUGACGGUAAUGGGUAAAGAAGCACCGGCUAACUACGUG